CUAUCAUGUAUAUUUUUGCGAAACAAAUUCCCACAGUUGUCAUUCAUCGUUGAGAGUUAGUUAAUUUAUUUAUUUUUCGCGCUGUCUGUUAUGUGAGUUUGUUUUUUAACUGCAAUAGAACCGUAACAUUGAUUGCGUCAUGACAUUGCGCAUUGAAUUUUUUAUGAAAAUAAAAAAAUAUGAGGGGGAAAAAAAUGUGAGGCAGGAAAUGGGGGUACAAUCGGGUUCAAGGAUCUGUAGUUUUCGUUCCGGAAUUUCUAGUUUCGAUUUGGUAUUGCCCCCGGCACGUGCCACUCGAAGCAAAUUCUUGAACGCACCGAACCAUGUUCGUGAUCGUUACACCUGUGUCUCAUUUCUUAAAUAUUUUUUUUUUGUCUUUAUUUUAUUAUUUAUUAAAAGUAUGGAAAUGUACAGUCUUGAUUGAAGAAGCGCCAGUUAAAUGAAUUGCACGGAAUCAGAAGUUCUCCGAUCGAUCGAUCGAUCUUGCCUGCAUCUCACUUUUUUUCAAUCAACAAUCAUCGAUCGAUGUUUACGGAAUUCAGCAAUUGGAUUAUAUAAGGAGUAUUAAAAAAAGGGGGUGCUAACUAUAAAAUAUAAAAUAUUAAAAGAGUUUUCAAGAGUGAUUUGUUUUACAAAUUAUUUAAAUGAACCCCCCUUGGAUGGUACACCCCUGACUUCCGCUAUGCAUAUCUAACAUAAAUGGCAUUGCCUGCAUUUUCCUUGAAGGUCAUUGAGUUAAGGGAAUACGCUUUCGAUUAGAUUGAUUUUUGUUCGUUUCGGAGCGGAUCGGAUCGGAUCGGAUCGGAUUAGAUUAUAGCCAAUAACCAGAAUACCCAGAAGAGACUCUCCAGAUCCCAGACGAAAGCGAAAGUCAUCAAAUAGACUUGAUUUCAGAUAUGGUGUGAAACGGUGGAGAGUGCGCAGUAAGUUUCAAUCUUUAAAUCAUCAAAUUAUUCACUUUUUUUCUUCUAUAGGUUAGUGGAUAUAGAUUCUCGAUUAAACGGAAGCUUAAUAGACCGGACUAGUUUAUAAAUUAGAUGCUUCAAAAGUCGGAAGCUCUUAAGGCGGACAGACUAAUAAAAAUACUAGCGGAUACUAGAGGCUCUAAUAUGAUUAUAGAUACUUCUGAUCUAUCUCUGAAGAUAGAUCUAUAGUUUGGAGCUUAAGAUACCAGAUUCUAGUUGGAAAAAAUCAACAGACAGGCCUUUCUGAGAAGGAGAUCUUCUCAGACAUAUAAUUCCCAAAAAAAGA